CCCCAGCCCCCCCCCCCCCCCCCCCCCCCCCCCCCCGCCCUCGCCGCUGCAGGGAAUUGCUACGAUGCCACUUGCAUAUUAAGUCUGGUCAUUUGAGACAAUUAAAGGAUACCGAGAAAAUGAGCUACCUGACACUUCUAUGUAAAUGAGAACAUGCAUAGUAAUGAGGGGAGGGGUACAAAGGUGAGCUACCAGAGAAGUCCAUAAAAGAAGGACCACAGCUGACUGUCAUAUGAAAAUGCUGUGAGUCACAGCAGGGAGAGGCUGCUCUCCAGGAGUCUCACCUCGGCAGCCAGGGGUGCUGCAGGACACUGAGUUCUCUGCGUCCCCCUCGUCUGGGGGCUGCCCGCAGCCCAGGCAGUAGGUCUCGGGCUGCCUAAAGUGGCUGAUAAACGGAGCCAGGCAGGAGCACCUGAGGAGAAGCAUCCCAGACACUAAACAGGCCAGCCCAGCCAGCCUAAGGAGCCCUCAUCCUCUCCGGCACCACCCUCCAGACCAAGGGCAGACUUCCUGCAGUCUGACCUCCAUCCCACCGACUGCAGCAACAACUUCUCUGCUUCUUGUCCUCCUCCUCCUUGUAUCCCCGCCCCUUAGCAUUCUUAUCCCUUCAUUCAUGCACGAGUGCCAUGGAAUGAGCACCCCCUUCAACCAAACCUCAGAACACUUAGGAAAGACGGGGUCCAUUCUGACCUCUGGCUCUUUUUCUGCCCCAUCUGGCCCCACUUCCAAUAAGGAAGGACAGUGGGCUCACCGCUUAGCCAGCACCUGGAGGACACUCAUGUGGCCCUGGUCAGCAGCCCGUCUCCUCACUGAACGAUGCAGGGCCCCCAACAGCUUGGUUCGGCGGCUCAGAAGUACGUUGUAGAGCUGGUACCGUGCCAGGUCAAGCACCCAGAAGACGGCAUAGUCCAGGAAGACCAGGAGCAGCACCAGAAGGAGGUGCCGGAUAAGGUGGAAAAUCGCCAGGAUGUAAAAAAUCUUCUCCCACCGGGACAAGAAGAUGGAGCCUGGGGGUGGGGGUGGGGGGGCUGGUCAGGAGGAUGUGCCCUAAUUCUCCCACUCACCAGACCCCAGCUCCUAGAGAGAUCUACCUCCUGGAGGCUUCUCCUGCCCCUGAACAAGCGGGGGCCUGUCUGCUUCUCUGGAAGAUGCAGAAGCAAUGAGGACCGCUGGGCAAGCAUAGGAAGCCCUAUUCGCCGGCAGGGCUCCAUGGCUAGAGUGGCAGGCCUCGUAUUUCCACCUGGGCCUGGGGGCCUAUUUCCCGUCUCCAGGAACCCUCCCUCCUGAGGCAUCCCUGAUACCCUCACCCGGCCCCCACCUUACAAACAGCACCACCCCACCUCCACGGCCCCCCAGGCUGCAUCUCCUCCCUGUCAGCACAUGCGCACUUCCGGCUCUCCAUCCCGAAAGCCUCCCCAACUUCAUUUCCCUUGCUCCGUAUCCACUCACCACCCACCCUUCCCUCUGUCCUGACAUCCUGGGUGCUGCCAGAAGCAUCGAUGUGCUUUCCCUCUCCGCCUGCAGGCUCUCAGGAACCGGAUUUCCCCUCUCAGGAAGUACGGCUCCCCGAGGACAGGGCCGUGUCUUCCUCUAGCCUGAGAUGUCCUUCAGCUCUGGCUUGUCUCCCCUACCUCUGAGUCUGCCCCGGAGCCCAAGCUGUGCAUGGGGCUUCUGGGCAGGGCGGUGGGGCUGGGGGCAGCUGGCCUCUUCAGGGUCCCUGUGUCCCGGUCCUCGGGGCCCUCACCUGGCUGGAUGUAGAGUCUGGCCUCGCGGGCACUGAGUGGCAGCACCGUGGGCAGUCCCACCGUGGAGCGGACGGCCUCCAUGCGCAGGAAUUGACCGGUGAUGUAGAUGUUGUCGAAGUCGUCCCAGUUCAGGUAACAGUACCGGUAAAACAGGGCUCUGGGGGAGCACACGGGAGGCUUCUCAGCACCCCUGACCCACCUACCUACUGCCCCAGGGCACCCCUCUCUGCCGCCCCCGCCUCCACAUUCCGGCCUCCCAGAAUGCCUUGCGAGCAGCCCCAGCCCCCAGCCCCCACCGGCUCGCCAGCCCCUCACUGGACAUAGAGAAGCAGGAACAGCAGGGGCGUGGUGUAGCCCAUCAGAGCCAAGGCCUCCUGGAUGCGGUAGAGCUUCGUGCUGACAGCUUCGUGGAGGUCCAGAGCCACCUGAGACAGGCUCCGAGAGGCAUUGAGAUCCACGGAGAAGUGGUGGGUGGCUGUCACGUUGAACUCAAACUCUUGACGCACCCGGUUAAUCAGCUUCCUUAUGGCUGGGACCGGCGG
rnacentral:lncRNA from 1 species